ACCUCUACAAGGAAAGUCAGAGGCGAAAUGUGGGGUUGGAGCCCACACCCUAUGUGGUAGAAACUAUUAAACACAAUUUGUGAAUAUUGAGAUUAACUUAUUUAUUUUCCUCAAAUAAGAGAAGACUUGAAUCUAUAUAUUCAAAGGGUACUGUAUAUCAGAGAACACUGAUCCAAAGUAGUCAAUACUGAUAAUAUAUGCCUAUAAAGUUAUUGGCAAAAGCAACCAAGAGAAAGUGGUGGUCACAAUCUUAAUAUCAGACAAAGUGGAAUUCUUGCAAAAAAAGC
rnacentral:lncRNA from 1 species